rnacentral:rRNA from 1 species
UACCCCGCUGAAAUUAAGCAUAUCAGUAAGCGGAGGAAAAGAAACUAACCAGGAUUCUCUCAGUAACGGCGAGUGAACAGAGAACAGCCCAGCACCGAAGCCUACUUGCGUUUGUGAGCAAGGCAAUGUGGUGUUACGAUGUUUGCCUGGGGUGAUCAGUCCAUCCGAAGUCCAGCAUAGAUUAUGGCUCUGGAUGUUGCCCAAAGCGGGUGAAAGGCCCGUGCGGAUGGACGUCAGGCAUGUUGAUCGCCCUCAGAUGCAUUCAUUGUGGAGUCGGAUAGCUUGAGAAUGCUGUCCAAAGUGGGUGGUAAACUCCAUCCAAGGCUAAAUACUGGCACGAAUCCGAUAGCUUACAAGUACCGUGAGGGAAAGUUGAAAAGCACUCUGAAGAGAGAGUAAAUAGUACGUGAAGCCGCCUGUAUGGAAGCUGGUGGAGUCAAGCCGCAUGCUUGGGGAAUCAAGCCAGUGAUGGUUGUGUGGAUUGUGGAGCCGGAUGGCCGGCGGGCUUGCAAAUAGUCCGAUGGUUUAUUUCGUCCCGUGAGCGUACAGGUUGGUGCGUACGGGGCCGGUCAUCUUGGGCUUUCGUCACUGGUGUGUCUUCCUCUUUGCAGACAUCACGAUCGGUAGCACUGCUGACAUGGGGUGGUCGAACCGCCAGGGCGUGGGCUGAAGUUCACUCCUGGUGGGAUGGCAGUUGGCUUGCCUUGCAGCUUCGGCUGCCUGGUGGGUUCUUCUCGGCUGUGGCCGGCCGAUCACCUCGUUGUGCUUUCAGUCAUGCAGAGUACCGGUGUUGUGUGUGAGCUGGGUCUUUGUCUGGUGUCGUGUUGGCGAUGCUGGUGCGUUGCUGCGCAAGUGGUGCGUGCUAGUGUGCCUGCUGAUGCGGCGCUUGGCGAUAGCUUGGCUUGUGAAUCGUGGUGUUGUGGUAGACGUUCCUCCCGACCCGUCUUGAAACACGGACCAA